rnacentral:rRNA from 1 species
UGAGUAAUACCUAGGAAACUGCCUAAACGAGGGGAUAACAUUUGGAAACGAACGCUAAUACCGCAUACGCCGGAAACGGGAAAGAUUUAUCGGGUGAUGGAUGUGCCCGCGUUGGAUUAGCUUGUUGGUGGGGUAACGGCCUACCAAGGCGAUGAUCCAUAGCUGGUCUGAGAGGACGAUCAGCCACGCUGGAACUGAGACACGGUCCAGACUCCUACGGGAGGCAGCAGCUAAGAAUAUUGGGCAAUGGAGGAAACUCUGACCCAGCCAUGCCGCGUGAAUGAAGAAGGCCUUCGGGUUGUAAAGUUCUUUUAGUAGUGAAGAUGAUGACAGUAGCUACAGAAAAAGACACCGGCUAACUUCGUG